rnacentral:rRNA from 1 species
UUUGACGUUAGCGACAGAAGAAGCACCGGCUAACUCCGUGCCAGCAGCCGCGGUAAUACGGAGGGUGCGAGCGUUAAUCGGAAUUACUGGGCGUAAAGCGCAUGCAGGUGGUUUGUUAAGUUCAGAUGUGAAAGACCCGGGGCUCAACCUCGGAAUAGCAUUUGAAACUAGGCAGACUAGAGUACUGUAGAGGGGGGUAGGAAUUUCAGGUGUAGCGGUGAAAUGCGUAGAGAUCUGAAGGAAUACCGGUGGCGAAGGCGGCCCCCUCGGACAGAUACUGACACUCAGAUGCGAAAGCGUGGGGAGCAAACAGGAUUAGAUACCCUGGUAG